UUAUAUUUCGAUUCCUCUCAAUUUUCUAAAAAAAAAAAUUCUUGAAUUAAAGCGUUCAUCGGUUCUAGGCUGGUGAAGGUAUCGAGGAUGAGGCUGUUGAAGGUUGCGACUUGCAACUUGAACCAAUGGGCGAUGGAUUUCGAUAACAACAUGAAGAACAUCAAGGAAUCGAUUGCUAGGGCGAAGGAGGAGGGGGCUAGGGUUAGAAUCGGGCCGGAACUUGAGAUCACUGGUUAUGGGUGUGAAGAUCAUUUCUUGGAGCAGGACACCGUCGCUCAUUCAUGGGAGUGUUUGCAAGAUCUACUGUCAGGUGAUUGGACUAAUGAUAUAUUAUGCAGUAUUGGUAUGCCCAUCAUUCAUGAAAGUGUGCGCUAUAACUGCCAGGUUUUCUGUUUAAAUAAAAAAAUUCUAAUGAUCCGGCCAAAGAUGUCCCUUGCAAAUGAUGGAAAUUACAGGGAACUUCGGUGGUUUUCGGCAUGGACACUUAAAGAAAAGCUUGUGGACUUCCAACUUCCUACUGAUGUUUCUGAAACUGUAUCCCAGAUUUCAGUACCUUUUGGUUAUGCAUACAUUCAGUUUCUAGAUACAUCUGUUGCCGCUGAAACGUGUGAAGAGCUCUUCACUGCUGACGCUCCUCGAAUUGAACUUGCAUUGAAUGGCGUAGAAGUCUUUAUGAAUGCAAGUGGAAGUCAUCACCAACUCAGAAAACUGAACUUGAGAAUUGAUGCUAUGAAGAGUGCAACCCUUUUCUGUGGAGGUGUUUACAUGUAUGGUAACCAUCAAGGUUGUGAUGGUGGCCGCCUCUAUUAUGAUGGAUGUUCCUGCAUUGCUAUUAAUGGAGACGUGGUUGCUCAAGGAUCACAGUUUUCCUUGAAGGAUGUUGAGGUUUUAGUUGCACAAGUUGACCUUGAUGCUGUUUCUAGCUAUCGGGGAUCUAUUAGUAGUUUCAGAGAACAAGCAAGCCACAAAUCCAAGGUUUCCUCAGUGAAAGUGUUGUAUAAGCUUUGCCAAUCAUUUAAACUCCAACAUUUUCCUACUAAUCCAGUGGAGGUUAAGUACCACUGUCCUGAGGAAGAAAUUGCUUUUGGACCUAGUUGUUGGCUAUGGGAUUAUUUAAGAAGAAGUGGCGCCUCUGGUUUCCUGCUUCCACUUUCUGGAGGGGCUGAUAGUUCAGCUGUUGCAGCCAUUGUAGGCUCCAUGUGCCAGCUUGUUAUAAAAGAUAUAAAAAAUGGAGAUCAACAAGUCAAAGCUGAUGCACUACGCAUUGGCAAAUACACCAACGGGGAGUUUCCUACUGAUAGUAAAGAAUUUGCCAAACGUAUAUUCUAUACAGUCUAUAUGGGAACUGAAAACAGUUCUGAAGAGACAAGAUCACGAGCUAAGAAGCUAUCAGAUGAGAUUGGUUCAUGGCAUCUGGAUGUGAAUAUAGAUAGUAUUAUUUCUGCAUUGAUCUCUUUGUUUCAGACACUUACAGGGAAGAGGCCACGAUACAAGGUUGAUGGAGGAUCAAACGUGGAAAAUCUAGGGUUGCAAAAUAUUCAAGCUCGUGUAAGAAUGGUUUGGGCUUUUAUGCUUGCAUCUCUAAUGCCAUGGGUCCACAAUAAACCUGGUUUUUAUCUCGUGUUGGGUAGUUCAAAUGUUGAUGAAGGUUUGCGUGGUUACUUGACAAAGUAUGAUUGCAGUUCAGCAGAUAUCAAUCCAAUUGGCAGUAUAAGCAAGCAGGAUCUCCGUGCUUUUCUACGUUGGGCUGCAAUUCAUCUAGGAUAUUCUUCUUUGGCAGAAGUUGAAGCAGCACCUCCAACCGCGGAACUAGAACCGAUACGUUCCAAUUAUAACCAGUUGGAUGAAGUGGACAUGGGGAUGACAUAUGAGGAGUUGUCAGUCUAUGGAAGGCUGAGGAAGAUUUUCCGCUGUGGACCUGUAUCAAUGUUUCAGAAUCUCUGCCAUAAGUGGUGCGGGAGAUUAACACCAUCUGAGGUUGCAGAGAAAGUGAAGCACUUCUUCAAGUAUUAUUCAAUCAAUCGACAUAAAAUGACUGUACUGACACCUUCAUAUCAUGCUGAGAGUUAUUCGCCAGAAGAUAAUAGAUUCGAUCUUCGCCAAUUUCUGUAUAACUCAAGGUGGCCUUAUCAGUUCCGCAAGAUUGAUGAGCUUGUUCAAGAUAUCGAUGGUGAUAAAACUGCUACAAUUCCAAAUGUAAAGGUUUCGGAAGUCACUUCUGGGGGAAGUGGUUUGGGCGUUGUGGCUGCAGGAUCUGGCAAUCCGGAGGUUGGCCGUUGAGAGACAAAAGUGGAGAAGGCAAUCAAUACAUAAAAUAUCAGGACUGCCAUUCAGCAUGUGGGCCGAGAUAUGGGCCUGAAGAAUACCCAUUCCGACGUGCUGUUUCCAAGUUGACUUUAUUCGCAUGCCACGUUGAGGAGGUUGAAGUGGGGCCCUUCCACAGUUCUAAACUCGUUUAGUACCAGCCAAGUAAAUCUCACCUUUUGCAGACGGGUUAUAUAGGUUAUCGUUAUUUGUAGGAACAUUCUCAUACUCGCCAGCACCAUCCGCUCCUCCAAACGCGGCAAUACUUGCAACCAGAAAGCAGCCAAGAAAGCAGAGGAACUUAAUUGAAAACUCCAUUUUUUUAUUAUUAUUAAUCUUCAUUGUAUAAUAUAGUCUCUAGUUUGCUCCGUAGUACAUGGUGGUUGAGAAAUUGGUAAAGGGUUGCCAUAUUAUUUCCAUUUAGGUUAAGUGGAGGCAUCACUACAUUGUGUCCUAUAGGAGUAAGCCACGAAGGAUGGAAGCUGAUCUAGCAAUAGUAUGUGACCCAACCCAAUUAAAAUGAUGUGUUGGAUCUAAAUGUUUCGAGUUUCAUGUAAUGGUAUAUGAUUGAGCAUUAAAGCGGAAAGUGUGAACUUAUAGUCUUAUAUAAUGGGUUGAAAGGAAUACAAGGAACUUAUAGUUUCAUGA